rnacentral:rRNA from 1 species
GCAAGUCGAACGGGACUAUGAGAGCUUGCUUUCAUAGUCUAGUGGCAAACGGGUGAGUAAUGCAUAAGUAACGUGCCCUUCAGAUCGGGAUAACAGACCGAAAGGCCUGCUAAUACCGGAUAUCCUUUCAGAUUCACAUGAGACUAAAAGGAAAGAUUUAUUGCUGAAGGAGCGGCUUAUGUCUGAUUAGUUAGUUGGUGGGGUAAGAGCCUACCAAGGCGAUGAUCAGUAGCUGGUCUGAGAGGAUGGUC